rnacentral:tRNA from 1 species
GCGGUUGUGGCGGAAUUGGCAGACUCACUAGAGUUAGCAUCUAGUGCCAUUUGCGUGGGGGUUCGACUCCCUGCAUCCGUACAA